AGUAUUAUACUUUAUAUAAGAAGAUGUGAUUUGCAAUUACAAAGUAAGAUUUCAAUCUUUAAUACUA
rnacentral:tRNA from 1 species